AACGAACGCUGGCGGCAGGCCUAACACAUGCAAGUCGAACGUGAAGCCACCUUCGGGUGGUGGAAAGUGGCAGACGGGUGAGUAACGCGUGGGAACGUGCCUUUCGGUUCGGAAUAACCCAGGGAAACUUGGGCUAAUACCGGAUACGCCCUUCGGGGGAAAGAUUCAUCGCCGAAAGAUCGGCCCGCGUCGGAUUAACUAGUUGGUAGGGUAAUGGCCUACCAAGGCGACGAUCCGUAGCUGGUCUGAGAGGAUGACCAGCCACACUGGGACUGAGACACGGCCCAGACUCCUACGGGAGGCAGCAGUGGGGAAUCUUGGACAAUGGGCGAAAGCCUGAUCCAGCCAUGCCGCGUGGGUGAAGAAGGCCUUAGGGUUGUAAACCCCUUUCAGCGGGGAAGAUAAUGACGGUACCCGCAGAAGAAGCCCCGGCUAACUCCGUGCCAGCCGCCGCAGUAAAAC
rnacentral:rRNA from 1 species